ACGCUCGACACCUACGGGGGGCAGCAGUCGGGAAUAUUGCGCAAUGGAGGAAACUCUGACGCAGUGACGCCGCGUAUGGGAAGAAGGUUUUCGGAUUGUAAACCAUUUUAGACAAGGAAGAAACAAGACAGUACUUGUAGAAUAAGCUCCGGCUAACUACGUGCCUGCAGCCGCGGUAAUCUGAGCGGGCUGGCAAGGC
rnacentral:rRNA from 1 species